GAAAAGAAACCAACAGGGAUUGCCCUAGUAACGGCGAGUGAAGCGGCAACAGCUCAAAUUUGAAAUCUGGCCUCGGCCCGAGUUGUAAUUUGCAGAGGAUGCUUUUGGCGCGGUGCCUUCCGAGUUCCCUGGAACGGGACGCCACAGAGGGUGAGAGCCCCGUAUGGUUGGACACCAAGCCUGUGUAAAGCUCCUUCGACGAGUCGAGUAGUUUGGGAAUGCUGCUCAAAAUGGGAGGUAAAUCUCUUCUAAAGCUAAAUACCGGCCAGAGACCGAUAGCGCACAAGUAGAGUGAUCGAAAGAUGAAAAGCACCUUGAAAAGGGGGUUAAACAGUACGUGAAAUUGUUGAAAGGGAAGCGCUUGUGACCAGACUUGCGCCUGGCGGCUCAUCCGGGGUUCUCUCCGGUGCACUCCGCCAGGCUCAGGCCAGCAUCGGUUCUGGCGGGGGGAUAAGAUCGGCGGGAACGUAGCACCCUCCGGGGUGUGUUAUAGCCCGCCGAACGAUACCCUCGCGGGGACCGAGGUUCGCGCUCCGCAAGGAUGCUGGCGUAAUGGUCAUCAGCGACCCGUCUUGAAACACGGACCAAGGAGUCGUCCAUUAUAGCGAGCGUUUGGGUGUAAAACCCGCACGCGUAAUGAAAGUGAAAUUAGGUGAGAGCUUCGGCGCAUCAUCGACCGAUCCUGAUGUUCUCGGAAGGAUUUGAGUAAGAGUUAUAACGGACGGACCCGAAAGACAGUGAACUAUGCUUGUAUAGGGUGAAGCCAGAGGAAACUCUGGUGGAGGCUCGCAGCGGUUCUGACGUGCAAAUCGAUCGUCAAAUAUGAGCAUGGGGGCGAAAGACUAAUCGAACUGUCUAGUAGCUGGU
rnacentral:rRNA from 3 species